rnacentral:tRNA from 1 species
GGCCCGUUGGUCAAGUGGUUAAGACACCGCCCUUUCACGGCGGUAACACGGGUUCGAAUCCCGUACGGGCCACCA